rnacentral:rRNA from 1 species
CAGUAGCCGCGGUAAUACGUAGGGUGCGAGCGUUAAUCGGAAUUACUGGGCGUAAAGCGUGCGCAGGCGGUUUGUUAAGACAGAUGUGAAAUCCCCGGGCUUAACCUGGGAACUGCAUUUGUGACUGGCCGGCUAGAGUAUGGCAGAGGGAGGUGGAAUUCCACGUGUAGCAGUGAAAUGCGUAGAUAUGUGAAGGAACACCGAUGGCGAAGGCAGCCUCCUGGGCCAAUACUGACGCUCAUGCACGAAAGCGUGGGGAGCAAACAGGAUUAGAUACCCGCGUAGUCCCUGUCUCUUAUAA